rnacentral:rRNA from 1 species
GGGAAGCCUACCUCAAGAUAAGAUUUCCCUAGGACUUUAUGUCCUCUAAAGAGCCGUUCGAGACUAGGACGUUGAUAGGUUGGAUGUGGAAGCAUAGUGAUAUGUGAAGCUGACCAAUACUAAUUGCUCGUGAGGCUUGACUAUACAACACCCAAGCAGUUG